rnacentral:rRNA from 1 species
ACGCUGGCGGCGUGCUUAACACAUGCAAGUCGAGCGGAAAGGCCCUUCGGGGUACUCGAGCGGCGAACGGGUGAGUAACACGUGAGUAAUCUGCCCUGAGGUCUGACAUAACCCGUCGAAAGGCGGGCUAACAUCAGAUGAUAUAUAAUCACGACAUCGUGGAAAUAUCAAAUCUUCGGAGCCUUGGGAUGAGCCUGCGUCUGAUUAGGUAGUUGGCGGAGUAAUAGCCCACCAAGCCUACGAUCAGUAGCUGGUCUGAGAGGAUGAUCAGCCACACUGGAACUGAGACACGGUCCAGACUCCUACGGGAGGCAGCAGUAAGGAAUAUUGCUCAAUGGGGGGAAACCCUGAAGCAGCAACGCCGCGUGAAGGAUGAAAUACUUUGUAUGUAAACUUCUGUAAGAUGGGAAAAAUAUUCUCCUCGGGAGAAUUGAUUGUACCAUCAGAGUAAGCCCCGGCUAACUACGUG